rnacentral:rRNA from 1 species
AUGCCGGGUGUCCCGAAGGAUUUCGCCGAGCACAAGCUACAUGUCCGAGCCGACGCGAAGCCGGUCAAGCAGCCUCUCCGCCGACUGUCAGAAGAGAAGAGAAGAAUCGUAGGAGAAGAGAUAGCCCGGCUCCUUGCCGCCGGCUUUAUUAUGGAAGUGUUUUUUCCAGAGUGGCUUGCCAACCCAGUCUUGGUGUAUAAGAAAAACAACAAAUGGCGUAUGUGUAUAGACUACACUAGCCUCCACAAGGCCUGCCCCAAAGAUCCGUUUGCUCUGCCAUGGAUUGAUCAAGUGAUAGACUCCACAGCCGGAUGCGAGCUGUUGAGUUUCUUGGAUGCCUACUCAGGAUACCACCAGAUUAAGUUCGACCCAGCAGACCGCCUGAAGACCGCCUUUAUCACACCAUUCGGAGCUUUCUGUUACCUGACUAUGACAUUCGGCUUGAGGAAUGCCGGUGCCACUUUUCAGCGUUGCAUGCAGAAAUGCCUCCUCAAGCAACUCGGCAGAAAUGCCCACGUCUACGUAGACGAUAUUGUGGUGAAGACAGAGAAGCGCGGCACCCUGCUGGAAGACCUCAAAGAAACAUUUGCCAACUUGCACCGAUUCCAGAUCAAGCUCAACCCCGAGAAAUGCGUGUUCGGAGUACCAGCCGGCCAGCUUCUAGGCUUUCUGGUCUCCGAACGCAGCAUUGAGUGCAACCCUGUGAAGAUCAAGGCCAUUGAGAGAAUGGAGAUUCCCACCAAGUUGCGAGACGUGCAGAAGUUCACUGGGUGCCUGGCCUCCCUAAACCGCUUUAUCAGCCGGCUAGGAGAGAAGGCUCUCCCCCUAUACCGACUCAUGAAGAAAUCCACUCAUUUCGAGUGCAAUGACCAAGCAGACCAAGCCUUCCAUGAGUUGAAGAAGAUGCUGACCACUCCACCUGUCCUGGCGGCGCCGACUGAGAAGGAGCCCAUGCUCCUCUACAUUGCUGCAACUAGCCGAGUGGUCAGUACAGUCAUCGUGGUCCAGCGCCCAGAAGAAGGCCGAGCCCAGCUAGUCCAGAGGCCGGUAUAUUAUCUAAGCGAAGUACUGUCCAGCUCAAAGCAAAACUACCCACACUACCAGAAGAUGUGCUAUGGAGUGUACUUCGCCGCCAAGAAGCUGAAGCCCUACUUUCAAGAGCAUCCCAUCACGGUCGUAUGCACCGCCCCGCUUGCCGAGAUCAUAGGCAGCCGGGAUGCAUCCAGCUGGGUGGCUAAAUGGGCCAUUGCGCUGGCGCCUUACACAAUCUUCUACCAGCCCCGCACCUCCAUCAAGUCCCAAGCAUUGGCCGACUUCCUCGUCGACUGGGCCGAGACCCAGUACCUACCGCCGGCUCCCGACUCUACUCAUUGGCGGAUGCACUUCGACGGGUCAAAGAUGCGCACCGGCUUGGGAGCCGGCAUCGUCCUCGCCUCUCCCAAAGGCGACAAGCUCAGAUACAUGCUGCAAAUCCACUUUGCUGCCUCCAACAACGUGGCUGAAUACGAGGCGCUCAUACACGGGCUCCGGCUAGCCAAAGAGCUCGGCAUACGCCGGAUCCUGUGUUAUGGCGACUCAGACUUGGUGGUCCAGCAGUCAUCUGGCUACUAG